CUCUAUAAGGAAUCCCAGUGGACAGUCGACAAAUCCCAGUAGACAAGCCGACAGCACCCUAAGCAUUCGUAUAUGACAAUACAAAACCACUCUUGUAUAUCCCGGCGCCUUUUCCGAAAACAAUCCCGAUCAACCAUCAACGUUCCAACGUGCUCUGCGCACUGAUGACUCUGGUUACAGAUAUUGAUUAAUCAACAAUCGACCCUUUGCCUGGCACAUCGUGGUUGCCAGAUGGUUCCUUCCUUCCACCUGCGCCGUUCCGCAACUCUGAACAACUGCGCCGAGUAGCCCGAGGAAUCCGUGUUCCUCAUCUCUCAUCCGAAGGAUCAACAAACUGCCUUCCUCCCCCCAAGUUGGAUGAACAACCUACAUCCUACAUAAACCAUAAACGAUAUGUAACGCGUUUUACCCGUACUGCGUACCUUUAUGCGUUAUACAAAUAUCACACGCCACACACAAUCCAUCAUUUUCGGGAACGUCCUUUGCCGGUCAAGGAUUAAGAAUGGCCAGGAGCCAAAAGGUCACAAAAGUACCUUUUGCCUCAAUCUCUCUCAGACUCGGACAUGCAAACAUCUGGCUAAUAAGUUAUAAGCAUUCCGUGCAUUACCUCAAUCCCCAAUUGCCAAUUCGACUAUAUUUCACAUUUCUCGACACUCACUAACGAAAGAUCGCAAGGGUCCCAACGAUUCAUCUUACUCUCGACUAAGGCGGCAUGCUGAAACCGCUCAAAAUGAUAACCUCAGCCCCUCCAAAAAAAACACCAACCGUCUUUGAUUUCACGGUUCGCAAGGCGUCGAGCGGAAACGUGAUGGUGGAUGGUCGUGUAUCAAAGGGCAAAUUGGGGUGAGGUAUCCGUCAUUUUCAUCUCGUCCGCUUAACAUAUGGGCUUGAGCAUCAUCUCCAGUAGCGUGGAGAUUGCUGGUUGCUGGCGUUGUCAGCCAUCGUUGAACCGUUCAAGAGUCCAGGAUUCAGGUGUGCAGGAGAGUGAGUGUUUUAAAGCAACCUUAUUUAUCUUCAUUUUUUACCUUGGCACCCUGCCUAUUCACAUAUCGUAUCUUUGAUACUUGAUCCAAGCAUCAACUACAUGGUCCCAAUGUAUUUAAUCUUUUUGAACGUGAC
rnacentral:sRNA from 1 species